CACGGUCGAAGAAGUAACUGC
rnacentral:siRNA from 1 species